rnacentral:sRNA from 1 species
CCGGCCCCUCUCACCGACUAGCAAUCGGUCACCGACCUUCGGAUAGGGAACCUGAAUACCGUAAACGCAAGCACAAGACAUGCUUGCAUCGUUGCGGUUCUGUCGGUGGAGCUUCAAUGGUUGCGGUUUAAACGGAACCGCACAAUGAAAAGACACUUUUGUGUUCUGCUCAUUGUUUUUGGUGGGGUCGUUGGUACUGUGAAAGGAGGCUGGUCAGUCACCAGCAACCAGAUCAAUAUCAGCGUGAACAUUCAAAGCAAGUAGCCACAAGCCGCCCUUCGGGGCGGCUUGUUU